UACGAAGGGGGCUAGCGUUGCUCGGAAUCACUGGGCGUAAAGGGUGCGUAGGCGGGUUUUAAGUCAGAGGUGAAUCCUGGAGCUCAACUCCAGAACUGCCUUUGAUACUGAAAUCUUGAGUAUGGGAGAGGUGAGUGGAACUGCGAGUGUAGAGGUGAAAUUCGUAGAUAUUCGCAAGAACACCAGUGGCGAAGGCGGCUCACUGGCCCGGUACUGACGCUGAGGUGCGAAAGCGUGGGGAGCAAACAGG
rnacentral:rRNA from 1 species